CCGCAAAUCACUCGGCAUCACUAAACCACCCCACCUUGGCGAACCAUAGAUGAGAAGCUAGAGGAGCAUGGUGAAGAAGAAAACGACAACCUCGAGGAUGAUUCAGAGGAGACUCCCUUAUGUUUCUCCUUUGCUGCAGCUUUCUUCUUCUUACUCUUCUCCUGCAAUUCCAGUUUUAAUGGAGAAGACAUUUGCAAGCAAAGACUAAUAAGAGAGAAGAGAAUGUUACCUGAAGGCAGAGACUUGAGCUCAUCUCCGGUGACGGCAACACGUCUCGGUGGAUAAUGUUGCCGAGGAAGUAAAUUUAGAAGAAGAAGAAGAGACAGGAGGACAAAGAAGAACCCAGCAUUAAGACAGAGGUAAAGCUACUUGUGAAGUUAUG